GACGGGGGAUGCAAGUGUUAUCCGGAAUAAUUGGGCGUAAAGCGUCUGUAGGUGGUUUACCAAGUCUGUUGUUAAAAAUCAGGGCUUAACCCUGAUCCGGCAACAGAAACUAGUAGGCUGGAGUACGGUAGGGGCAGAGGGAAUUCUCGGUGUAGUGGUGAAAUACGUAGAUAUCGAGAAGAACACCAAUAGCGAAAGCACUCUGCUGGGCCGAAACUGACAUUGAGAGACGAAAGCUAGGGGAGCGAAAGGG
rnacentral:rRNA from 1 species